rnacentral:rRNA from 1 species
AUUGAACGCUGGCGGCAGGCCUAACACAUGCAAGUCGAGCGGAUGAAGGGAGCUUGCUCCUGGAUUCAGCGGCGGACGGGUGAGUAAUGCCUAGGAAUCUGCCUGGUAGUGGGGGAUAACGUCCGGAAACGGGCGCUAAUACCGCAUACGUCCUGAGGGAGAAAGUGGGGGAUCUUCGGACCUCACGCUAUCAGAUGAGCCUAGGUCGGAUUAGCUAGUUGGUGGGGUAAAGGCCUACCAAGGCGACGAUCCGUAACUGGUCUGAGAGGAUGAUCAGUCACACUGGAACUGAGACACGGUCAAGACUACUACGGGAGGCAGCAGUGGGGAAUAUUGGACAAUAGGCGAAAGCCUGAUACAGCCAUGCCGAGUGUGUGAAGAAGGUCUUCGGAUUGUAAAGCACUUUAAGUUGGGAGGAAGGGCAGUAAGUUAAUACCUUGCUGUUUUGACGUUACCAACAGAAUAAGCACCGGCUAACUUCGUG